UGCUUGACUUCCUGGAUACGGUGGUGCUCGGCGACGAGGGCGGAGUCUGGUAGGACCAGGUGCACUCAGAGCCCUUCAGGUCCACGAUCACCUGGAGAGAGAGCGAUCAGUAGAGCGUAUACCUCCGCCAAAGGCUCAACAGUCGCUCUUUAGACUCCUGGUCAGAGGUCAGAGUGGAAACGUGGACUCGGACGGUCGUACCUGUUCGCUGGAGGCCGGCAGCUUGUGCGGGUCCAUCGUCAGCACCUUCAAGUCGUCUGUCAGGGUCUGCAGGUAAAUCAUCGUCACUAUGAAGGAGGUGCUGUGUGGGCGGAGCACUGACCACGACCGGCCUCAGCAUGGAGACGAAGCAGCAGAAGCGACUCCUCUCCUCCACCAGCGCCUUCCUCACCGCCUGCUUCUCCGUCUCCUCCAGCAGCAGGCGUCGACUGUGCGACUCACACAAACAUCCAAACAAUGUGGGAAAACACUCCAGCCGACUCGAGACGAAAGUUUUAUGACCCGGCAGAGCAGAAACAGAACCAGAAACACCAGCAGAACUUUCUGUCUCGUCUUCUCGCCUCCACCUGCUACAAUCACGGUUCAGAAUAAUCUCACAUGAUAACAAAGAACAAGACAGUGAAGACAGAAGAGGAGAAAGGUUUCAGUUUCAUCUCUGACAGAACUGUUCUUUUUUCUUGAGUGAAACCUUUGUUGGACCUGAUCCUGAUGUGCAGUCAGGUGUUGAACUUUCUGUCUUCAGGCUCGACUGAGCAGCUGUGACAGGAAGGAAGCGUCUCCGUCUCUAAUUCUGUAUCCAGGACUCAUUAUAACGUCCGUGUUCAGGACCACCAGCUCUACAUGUUGUGUUUUAUCUGUGACUGUUAUUAAUAUUGAACAUAUUAAAGUGUGUUUUAGUGAA